rnacentral:rRNA from 1 species
UGGGGAAUUGUUCGCAAUGGGCGCAAGCCUGACGACGCAACGCCGCGUGGAGGAUGAAGACCUUCGGGUCGUAAACUCCUUUCGACCGAGAUGAAUUUCCACUCGCCUAAUACGCGAGUGGAUUGACAGUAUCGAGGGAAGCAGCCCCGGCUAACUCCGUGCCAGCAGCCGCGGUAAUACGGGGGGGGCAAGCGUUGUUCGGAAUUACUGGGCGUAAAGGGUUCGUAGGUGGCUUGCUAAGUCAGACGUGAAAUCCCUCAGCUUAACUGGGGAACUGCGUCUGAGACUGGCAGGCUUGAGUGCAGGAGAGGAACGCGGAAUUCCAGGUGUAGCGGUGAAAUGCGUAGAUAUCUGGAGGAACACCGGUGGCGAAGGCGGCGUUCUGGACUGCAACUGACACUGAUGAACGAAAGCCAGGGGAGCAAACGGGAUUAGAUACCCCCGUAGUCC